rnacentral:rRNA from 1 species
UGACGCCCUUCGGGGUCUCUGUGAAGGUGCUGCAUGGUUGUCGUCAGCUCGUGCCGUGAGGUGUCGGCUUAAGUGCCAUAACGAGCGCAACCCUUGCUCUCAGUUGCCAUCGGGUAAUGCCGGGCACUCUGUGAGGACUGCCUCCGCAAGGAGUGAGGAAGGUGGGGAUGACGUCAAAUCAGCACGGCCCUUACGUCCGGGGCCACACACGUGUUACAAUGGGGGGCACAGCGAGCUGGUCCAUGGCGACAUGGUCCGAAUCAAGAAAUCCCCUCCCAGUUCGGACUGGA